UAGCUUCAGAAAACCCGCUACAGUUUCUAGGAAGCGCAAUGCAGGGAUCCCCGUCUGACCGCCAUCACAACAAAAUCAACCCGAGAACCUCCCUACACUGACCACUUCCCUACUGCCCUUGCCUUCAACGAGCUCAUGCCCAGCAAUUUCCUCCUGCUGAACACCUGGGUCCUCAGUGGCUUGCUUGGCUACUCGCAACAAUACAAACAAGCAUAGUAUAGGAGAAAUUAGCAUCACACCAAACAACAGAACAAAAUGCAUGGUAAUAUUCUACGCAUCAUAGCGAGAUCGUAGGAACAAGAAUCACUAAAUUCAGAGUUACAGUUAUCGAGUUAUGAUUUUCUAAAGUUAUUAAGUGGUUGAUACACAUUAAGUCCAAUGAAUAAUUUUAGUCCAUGUUUCAUGAAUAAACAUAGUUACUAGGUGGUAAACAAUAUUAAAACAAAAUUAAUGCAAUUGGAAUGGAUCAAAAAGGAAUGAAAAUGGAUUUAUUGUGAUUUAAACAAGUCUUUAUAAUUAUUUUAAUACAAAAACUCUUUUUUCUAUAAUUUUUAUUUCAUUUAACAGUACCCUGGACUGCGCACAGGAUUAUUGAAGAGUACAGUGACUAAAGCAUAAAAUUUUUAAGACUCAGAAUACACGUUCCUUAACACUCACAAGACUAUAGGUUUAUUUUAUAAUUUCCAGGGGGCUCUUUAGUAAAAUGCUCGGGACAAAAGGUAUGAAGCGAUCGCAGCCAUCAAAUCCGAAGUUCAUGGCGCCGAUUAGAUUGGAUUUCCCACUCAAACCUUUAUGCCAAGGGGCUGUUGGAUCAGAGUUGACGGCCUAGAUUUUAUGACCUCUGCUCUAACUGAUGCCGUCCGAUCAUGCACGAGGGGCUAGGAUUAAAUCCUGCCCACACAGUGCGCACGCUCAAUCCAAGCCACCGAUCACGGAAUCUACGAUCUACCCCUCGUCUUCCCCAGCGAGACGCCCACGUAAUAUCUACGGCGUGCCCGACGGCGGACCCGCCAUAGCCCUACCUUCCCCCUCCUAUUGCAACGGUUGAUCGGGCGCCACGGACUCUAACCCGCGCCCAAUCCCCUUCCACACACCAAAACCCACUCGUGCCUCCUCCAAUCGCACAUGUUAGCACGGCCGGAAGAGGUUGCAAGACGGCGUGACAACGAUGACGCGCAACAGCCGGCAACAGAGUUUUCACAAACAUGGGAUGGCGGCGAGCGUGGAGUAUUACUUACCGAGAUCUUGGGUGAGGCUAGAGCCACGCACGACACGCUUACGGGUUGCGCCCAUGCACCACCAGGGACUUGGUGCCGGCGAG
rnacentral:lncRNA from 1 species